GACGUAGGGUGCAAGCGUUGUCCGGAAUUACUGGGCGUAAAGCGCGUGUAGGCGGCUAAGUAAGUCGGGCGUGAAAUCCCACGGCUCAACCGUGGAAGUGCACUCGAAACUGCAUAGCUAGAGUCCUGGAGAGGAAGGUGGAAUGCUUGGUGUAGAGGUGAAAUUCGUAGAUAUCAAGCGGAACACCGGUGGCGAAGGCGGCCUUCUGGACAGUGACUGACGCUGAGACGCGAAAGCGUGGGGAGCAAACAGG
rnacentral:rRNA from 1 species